GAUGAACGCUGGCGGCGUGCCUAAUACAUGCAAGUCGAGCGAACGGACGAGAAGCUUGCUUCUCUGAUGUUAGCGGCGGACGGGUGAGUAACACGUGGAUAACCUACCUAUAAGACUGGGAUAACUUCGGGAAACCGGAGCUAAUACCGGAUAAUAUUUUGAACCGCAUGGUUCAACAGUGAAAGACGGUCUUGCUGUCACUUAUAGAUGGUUCCGCGCUGCAUUAGCUAGUUGGUAAGGUAACGGCUUACCAAGGCAACGAUGCGUAGCCGACCUGAGAGGGUGAUCAGCCACACUGGAACUGAGACACGGUCCAGACUCCUACGGGAGGCAGCAGUAGGGAAUCUUCCGCAAUGGGCGAAAGCCUGACGGAGCAACGCCGCGUGAGUGAUGAAGGUCUUCGGAUCGUAAAACUCUGUUAUUAGGGAAGAACAUAUGUGCAAGUAACUGUGCACAUCUUGACGGUACCUAAUCAGAAAGCAACGGCUAACUACGUG
rnacentral:rRNA from 1 species